CGCCGCGCCGCAGCCCGCGCCCGCCGCGCCGCUGCUGCCGCAGCCGCAGCCCGCGUAGGCCGCAGCCCGCUAGUCAAUCAUCAGUGAACGUACAAAUCAACAGAAAGUGACUCUGAAAAUUUUGCAGGCCGUCUCCAACAAUGCAAUGUUUCAUACAAUUAAUUGAAUAAAAAUAAGUAAAAUCUGAUUUAAUUA